UAAGGAAUAUUGGACAAUGGCCGAAAGGCUGAUCCAGCCAUGCCGCGUGAAGGAUGAAGGCGCUCAGCGUUGUAAACUUCUUUUGUUCGGGAAAAAACCCCCUUUUUCUAAAGGGGCUGAUGGUACCGAGAGAAUAAGGGACGGCUAACUACGUGCCAGCAGCCGCGGUAAUACGUAGGGUGCGAGCGUUAAUCGGAAUUACUGGGCGUAAAGCGUGCGCAGGCGGUUCGUUGUGUCUGUCGUGAAAGCCCCGGGCUUAACCUGGGAAUGGCGAUGGAAACUGACGAGCUUGAGUGUGGCAGAGGGGGGUGGAAUUCCGCGUGUAGCAGUGAAAUGCGUAGAGAUGCGGAGGAACACCGAUGGCGAAGGCAGCCCCCUGGGCUAGCACUGACGCUCAGGCACGAAAGCGUGGGGAGCAAACAG
rnacentral:rRNA from 1 species